rnacentral:misc_RNA from 1 species
AUAUAUCAAUUCAUUCAAUUUUUUGUUGAAUGAGUUGGAUGUGGGGGUUUUUUGCUGGUCUUUUUUCUUAAAGGUCAGCUCCCCUAAAAUGUAUUAGCAGAACGAUCCUUUUGUUCAUUAGUGUGAUAAUUAUCUGCACUAUUGAAUUGUUUGGGCAAGUUUCAGCUUCUAAUAGUCCAUUGACUUGGACAAUUUAUUUAUUAA